AGCGAACGCUGGCGGCAGGCCUAACACAUGCAAGUCGAACGAACUCUUCGGAGUUAGUGGCGGACGGGUGAGUAACACGUGGGAACGUGCCUUUUGGUUCGGAAUAACUCAGGGAAACUUGUGCUAAUACCGAAUGCGCCCUUCGGGGGAAAGAUUUAUCGCCAUUAGAGCGGCCCGCGUCUGAUUAGCUAGUUGGUGAGGUAACUGCUCACCAAGGCGACGAUCAGUAGCUGGUCUGAGAGGAUGACCAGCCACACUGGGACUGAGACACGGCCCAGACUCCUACGGGAGGCAGCAGUGGGGAAUCUUGCGCAAUGGGCGAAAGCCUGACGCAGCCAUGCCGCGUGAAUGAUGAAGGUCUUAGGAUUGUAAAAUUCUUUCACCGGGGACGAUAAUGACGGUACCCGGAGAAGAAGCCCCGGCUAACUUCGUG
rnacentral:rRNA from 1 species